rnacentral:rRNA from 1 species
CUAGUAAUCGCGGAUCAGCAUGCCGCGGUGAAUACGUUCCCGGGCCUUGUACACACCGCCCGUCACACCACGAGAGCUUGCAACACCCGAAGUCGGUGAGGUAACCCGCAAGGGAGCCAGCCGCCGAAGGUGGGGCAAGUGAUUGGGGUGAAGUCGUAACAAGGUAGCCGUACCGGAAGGUGCGGCUGGAUCACCUCCUUUCUAAGGGGA